rnacentral:rRNA from 1 species
UGGCGAACGGGUGAGUAACACGUGGGUGAUCUGCCUUGCACUCUGGGAUAAGCUUGGGAAACUUGGUCUAAUACCGGAUAGGAACCGUCUUUAGUGUGGUGGUUGGAAAGUUUUUUCGGUGCAAGAUGAGCUCGCGGCCUAUCAGCUUGUUGGUGGGGUAAUGGCCUACCAAGGCGUCGACGGGUAGCCGGCCUGAGAGGGUGUACGGCCACAUUGGGACUGAGAUACGGCCCAG